GACGAACGCUGGCGGCGUGCCUAAUACAUGCAAGUCGAGCGGACUUUCAAGAAGCUUGCUUUUUGAAAGUUAGCGGCGGACGGGUGAGUAACACGUGGGCAACCUGCCUGCAAGACGGGGAUAACUCCGGGAAACCGGGGCUAAUACCGGAUAAUAUCUUCCUUCGCAUGAAGGAAGGUUGAAAGGCGGCGCAAGCUGCCGCUUGCAGAUGGGCCCGCGGCGCAUUAGCUAGUUGGUGAGGUAACGGCUCACCAAGGCGACGAUGCGUAGCCGACCUGAGGGGGUGGUCGGCCACACUGGGACUGAGACACGGCCCAGACGCCUACGGGAGGCAGCAGUAGGGAAUCUUCCGCAAUGGACGAAAGUCUGACGGAGCAACGCCGCGUGAGCGAAGAAGGUCUUCGGAUCGUAAAGCUCUGUUGUCAGGGAAGAACAAGUACCGUUCGAACAGGGCGGUACCUUGACGGUACCUGACCAGAAAGCCACGGCUAACUACGUG
rnacentral:rRNA from 1 species